UGUAUAAUGGGUCAGCGACUUAUAUUCUGUAGCAAGGUUAACCGUAUAGGGGAGCCGUAGGGAAACCGAGUCUUAACUGGGCGAAUGAGUUGCAGGGUAUAGACCCGAAACCCGGUGAUCUAUCCAUGGGCAGGUUGAAGGUUGGGUAACACUAACUGGAGGACCGAACCGACUAAUGUUGAAAAAUUAGCGGAUGACUUGUGGAUGGGGGUGAAAGGCCAAUCAAACCGGGAGAUAGCUGGUUCUCCCCGAAAGCUAUUUAGGUAGCGCCUCGUGAAUUCAUCUUCGGGGGUAGAGCACUGUUUCGACUAGGGGGUCAUCCCGACUUACCAACUCGAUGCAAACUGCGAAUACCGAAGAAUGUUAUCACGGGAGACACACGGCGGGUGCUAACGUCCGUCGUGAAGAGGGAAACAACCCAGACCGCCAGCUAAGGUCCCAAAGUCAUGGUUAAGUGGGAAACGAAGUGGGAAGGCUCAGACAGCCAGGAUGUUGGCUUAGAAGCAGCCAUCAUUUAAAGAAAGCGUAAUAGCUCACUGGUCGAGUCGGCCCGCGCGGAAGAUGUAACGGGGCUAAACCAUGCACCGAAGCUGCGGCAGCGA
rnacentral:rRNA from 1 species